GGCAGCGUGGCCGAGCGGUCUAAGGCGCUGGUUUUAAGCUCCAGAGGCGUGGGUUCGAAUCCCACCGCUGACA